AUUGAACGCUGGCGGCAGGCCUAACACAUGCAAGUCGAGCGGAGCGGCGGACGGGUGAGUAAUGCCUAGGAAUCUGCCUGGUAGUGGGGGAUAACGUCCGGAAACGGGCGCUAAUACCGCAUACUAUCAGAUGAGCCUAGGUCGGAUUAGCUAGAUGUGGGGGUAAAGGCCUACCAAGGCGACGAUCCGUAACUGGUCUGAGAGGAUGAUCAGUACCACGGGAACUUAGACACGGUCCAGAUGCAUACGGGAGGCAGCAGUGGGGAAUAUUGGACAAUGGGCGAAAGCCUGAUCCAGCCAUGCCGCGUGUGGGAAGAAGGUCUUCGGAUUGUAAAGCACGUUAAUUUGGGAGGCGUUACCAACAGAAUAAGCACCGGCUAACUUCGUGCCAGCAGCCGCGGUAAUAC
rnacentral:rRNA from 1 species